CUGCGAGUUCGCGGGAGAGUAGGUUAUUGCCAGGUUUUUUAUUUUUAUACUUUAACUUUGAUUUUAUUUUUAUGUUUUUUAAUAUUGGUGUUUUUGAAUGUGUUGUUUAAAUAACAUAAAAAAUAAAAUAUAUAUUGACAUGUAUUAAACAAAGAUAUAUAUUAUUUUAUGUUGUAUAAAUAAAUUGGCAAAAUAGAGAUGGAAGAUAAAAAUAUGGUCAAAGUAAUAAGAGUCUAUGGUGAAUGCCUAGGAA
rnacentral:misc_RNA from 1 species